CCGCGCACGGCCACACCUCGCGCUGCCUCUCGGUCCUGGCGCCCCCAGGCCUCCUGGCCCCCCACUUCGCGGCCUCCCCAGCUCUCCAGCCCACCAGCCUCGCUUUCUCUCCCCCCACCCCCCGAAAUCAGACUAUCAGAGGGGCUGAAAUGGGCACACACUGUGAAGUGCGGGCCGGAGUGAAUACGUAGAACGUCUUAAGGACUGGGGUAAAAUGAGAGCCAUCUGUGACCCUUGAUCUCCAGAGCUGUUAUCAGUAUUGGACCCCCCAUCUUUGUUACCCAGGAGGAAGCCCAAACCAUCCCCGGUGAGAGGCCACAUAGAGAAGCCCUGAGACUGCCUGAACACAGAGAGCCACCCAGGCAGACAGUGCCGCUUCACUCCAGCUCUCCAACUGACUGCAUCUGCAUCCAAGACAGUCAGAGGCACCCAGCUGAGCCCUGCCUCAGUCCCCACAGGCAGGAAUCUU